UGGUCUACGUCGUAGACUCUACGAAUAUCACAACUUAAAUAUUUCCUUAUUUCAUGUUUCAAGCUAUCAAUGUUCAAGUAAUAUGAAUUUUUUUUCUUACUGGAUGUUGAGUCCCCAUUGGAGUUUAAUAUUUCACCUAGACUUUGGAGUGUUGACUGCAACAUGAUAAUAAAAAAAUAUUUAUUUUCAUCUUUACGUAAUGUUUAUGAGUACCAUUUAAUCUUACUUCACCCAACGAAAUCGGCAGAGAAAAAGAAGCUGUUUCAAAACUUUCAGAGUAAAUUGCUGAAACAUCAAAAGAAGUACGAUCUCGAACAUCGUCUUUAGAAGAAUCAACAACUAAAUUCAUUUCCACAUAAUCAGCUACGGGCGGUUGGGAUUGCAAUGCAGCUGCUCAGUGUGAUGGUUCAAUCGAGUUCAAGAGCUGUAAAAAAGAAGGACUUGGCUUCCAAAUCCAAGUCAAAUGUACAAAUUGUGAUCCACGCUUUAUACCGUCGAGUGAGAAAACUGGUCAUCGCUAUGAAAUCAACACUCGUUUUGCCUUUGUAAUGCGUACAUUAGGUUUGGGUUUAGCAGGCUGCAAUAAAUUUUGCGGGCUCAUGGACAUAGCAAGUAGUUUUCUAUCAAAACAAUCUUAUUUGGAUCUCAUGAAAUCUAUUUGCUGCAGCAUCGAAACGACUGCUGAGAAAUUUCUUGUCUCCGCCGCAGACGAAGAAAAACAGCUAACACGUGCAAAUUCGGAGUCAGACACUUUGACCGUUUCUGGUGACGGCACGUGGCAGAAGCAAGGCUUUAGCUCUUCCUUUGGCGUCACUUCCUUGAUUGGAUAUUGGUCUGGAAAAGUUAUCGAUAUUUUCGUAAGUAGUUCGCACUGCCAGGCUUGCAAAUUAUGGAGAAAUCAACUAAAUACUGAUGAAUUUCAAGAUUGGUACGAAGAACAUGUUGGAAAAGAUGAAUGCCAAGCAAAUCACACCGGACCAUCAGAUAAUUUCCGGUCGAGUUACAGUGAACACCGCAAAUUGUUUUUUUUUCAAGACGUCCUGGGGGAAGCUCUGUCACGGGCUAAUGGUUCAAUAUCUGUUGCAUGAAAAAUUUACAGAACAUAGUCAAAACUAUGCUCAAUAAUGUAUAGAAGGUUUGAAUAAAAUUGCUCAAUCGAUAUUUGAGAUAAAAAAUCACAAAAAAAGUGUUUUUUUUACGCUGAAACCCUUACCCCUCCCUUAAAAAUAAUGGUCAUUGUAUACAGGUGGUCAUUGUAUAAAGAAUGAAAUUCUAUGAUAGCCAAUUAAAGCUCAAAUGUUCUAAAAAUAGAUGUCAUAUUAGCCAGGUGGUCAUUGGUACUUAGGUGGUCAUAUUAGAAAGGUAUAUUGAUAUAUUAAAUUAUUAUUUAUGCUUGAAGUAAGAAAGAGGGUUUAUGUAAAAGUAAAGAGACA